rnacentral:rRNA from 1 species
CUGGCGUCUUCGGCGUCCGCAUUGUAAUCUCAAGAAGUGUUUUCCGCUUCGGACCAAGCCUAAGUCCCCUGGAAAGGGGCAUCAUAGAGGGUGAUAAUCCCGUACAUGGCUUGGAGCGCCCGAGGCUUUGUGAUACGCUUUCUAAGAGUCGAGUUGUUUGGGAAUGCAGCUCAAAAUGGGUGGUAAAUGCCAUCUAAGGCUAAAUAUUGGCGAGAGACCGAUAGCGAACAAGUACAGUGAUGGAAAGAUGAAAAGAACUUUGAAAAGAGAGUUAAACAGUACGUGAAAUUGCCAAAAGGGAAGGGUAGGAGGUCAGAGAUGCGUCGCAGGAUUCAGCCUUGCUUUUGCUUGGUGUUUUUCCUGCGUUGCAGGCCAACGUCGGUUUUGGGCACUGGAGAAGGGUAGGAGGAACGUGGCACCUCUCGGGGUGUGUUAUAGCCUCCUACUGGAUACAGCGACCGAGACCGAGGACAGCAGCGUACUCGCAAGAGCGGGCCUUCGGGCACCUUUACGCUUAGGGCGUUGGCAUAAUGGCCCUCUACCACCCGUCUUGAAACACGGAC